AUGUUCUCUGUAGCUCUGCUGCUGCUGCUGAUGGUUGCUGGAUCUCGUGUGAAGUGUGAACAGCUGACACAGCCAGCCUCUGUGACUGUGCAGCCAGGUCAACGUCUGACCAUAAGCUGUCAGGUCUCUUAUGAUCUGGGCUACUGGACAGCUUGGAUCAGACAGCCUGCAGGGAAAGGGCUGGAGUGGAUUGGGGUUAAAGGCACUGGCUCUUCAUACUACAAAGAUUCACUGAAGAACAAGUUUAGUAUUGACUUAGACACUUCCAGCAAAACAGUGACUCUGAAUGGACAGAAUCUGCAGCCUGAAGACUCUGCUGUGUAUUACUGUGCCAGAGACCACAGUGAUACAAACCAGGAGCGCAGCUGUACAAAAACCCCUACAGUCAUAGAGGAACAGAUCAUCUCUCACACCAACAUGUUCUUUGUGACUGUGCUACUCCUGGCUGCUGGAUCCUGGCCAGACUGCAGCGGGCAGUCAGGACUGCAGAAAAGAUCAACGGUGCCAAUGGAGCCUUUCCGUACAUUUCCAAAGUGA